AUGUUCAAAAUGACUCUGUUCCACAGAGCCCGGUACGUAUGGAUGUGGAAGGAGGGUAGCAGGCUAGGGUUCUGAGGUUUUAGCUGUGUGUGUGUGUGUGUGUGUGUGUGUGUGUGUGUGUGUGUGUGUGUGUGUGUGUGGUGGGUCCUGGAGCCCCCAUUCCAUGGGGUUGUGGUGUAAGGAGUAUGAGGUAAGAGGUAGUCCCUCAUCAAAGAGAAGUAAAGAUCAAGGAACCCCAUGCCUGCUCACUAACCUAUAGGUGACAGGCUGGCUUAUGGCCAGAAGUGGCAGUCACUCUUAUCCCAUGACCGUCACAUCAUGUUGGCAGCCCCAGCCGUAGGACUCACCUGGACAUUGAAGCAUUCAUGGCAAGGGCAGGGUAAGGGUGCCGGAAACCACCAGGAGGGAGUGAGUACAUGGGCUGUCCUUGCCUGUGAGGGUGAGGAGGGAGGAAGAUGAGCUGGUCAGCCAAGUCUGAGGGGGCUGGAGAGAAUGAUGAGAAACAGAGGCAGGGAGACAGAGGAGCUGGGAGGAAGCUGUCCGAGGCAGAGCUCAGUGCAGGAAGGAAUGGGGGUAAGAAAGGUCCGGGUUUCCUUACUGUGGGACGAGCCAGCCGAGGGGAUGGGGGAUUUGUCCAACAGCUCCUGGAGACAGUG
rnacentral:lncRNA from 1 species